rnacentral:rRNA from 1 species
CUACGGGAGGCUGCAGCGGGGAAUAUUGCACAAUGGGCGCAAGCCUGAUGCAGCCAUGCCGCGUGUAUGAAGAAGGCCUUCGGGUUGUAAAGUACUUUCAGCGGGGAGGAAGGGAGUAAAGUUAAUACCUUUGCUCAUUGACGUUACCCGCAGAAGAAGCACCGGCUAACUCCGUGCCAGCAGCCGCGGUAAUACGGAGGGUGCAAGCGUUAAUCGGAAUUACUGGGCGUAAAGCGCACGCAGGCGGUUUGUUAAGUCAGAUGUGAAAUCCCCGGGCUCAACCUGGGAACUGCAUCUGAUACUGGCAAGCUUGGGUCUCGUAGAGGGGGGUAGAAUUCCAGGUGUAGCGGUGAAAUGCGUAGAGAUCUGGAGGAAUACCGGUGGCGAAGGCGGCCCCCUGGACGAAGACUGACGCUCAGGUGCGAAAGCGUGGGGAGCAAACAGGAUUAGAUACCCCAGUAGUC